UACGUGGGGGGCAAGCGUUGUUCGGAAUUACUGGGCGUAAAGGGCUCGUAGGCGGCCAACUAAGUCAGACGUGAAAUCCCUCGGCUUAACCGGGGAACUGCGUCUGAUACUGGAUGGCUUGAGUUCGGGAGAGGGAUGCGGAAUUCCAGGUGUAGCGGUGAAAUGCGUAGAUAUCUGGAGGAACACCGGUGGCGAAGGCGGCAUCCUGGACCGACACUGACACUGAGGAGCGAAAGCCAGGGGAGCAAACGGG
rnacentral:rRNA from 1 species